rnacentral:lncRNA from 1 species
AGGACGACGAGGCACGGGCUCGCGGUGGAGGAGGAAGACGGUGCGGGCUCGGGCUCGGGGACGAGGAGGAGGUCGACGGCGGCGAAGGGCUCGAGGGCUCGGGGCAGCGGAGGAGGUCGAUGGUGCAGAGGAGAAGGAGGAGGUCGGCGGCGCGGAGGAGAAGGACGGCAGCGGCGGCACGGAGAUCCGGCAGGGCUUCGCCUG